CCAACGGCCCUCUUUAGGGCCACAAAUGAUAAAUCCAAACAGUC
rfam:Caenorhabditis elegans chromosome I